rnacentral:rRNA from 1 species
GUAAACCUCUUUCAGUAUCGACGAAGCGUAAGUGACGGUAGGUACAGAAGAAGCACCGGCCAACUACGUGCCAGCAGCCGCGGUAAUACGUAGGGUGCGAGCGUUGUCCGGGAAUUACUGGGCGUAAAGAGCUCGUAGGUGGUUUGUCGCGUUGUCCGUGAAAACUCACAGCUCAACUGUGGGCGUGCGGGCGAUACGGGCAGACUGGAGUACUGCAGGGGAGGCUGGAAUUCCUGGUGUAGCGGUGGAAUGCGCAGAUAUCAGGAGGAGCACCGGUGGCGAAGGCGGGUCUCUGGGCAGUAACUGACGCUGAGGAGCGAAAGCGUGGGGAGCGAACAGGAUUAGAUACCCUGGUAGUCCACGCCGUAAACGGUGGGUACUAGGUGUGGGUUUCCUUCCUUGGGAUCCGUGCCGUAGCUAACGCAUUAAGUACCCCGCCUGGGGAGUACGGCCGCAAGGCUAAAACUCAAAGAAAUUGACGGGGGCCCGCACAAGCGGCGGAGCAUGUGGAUUAAUUCGAUGCAACGCGAAGAACCUUACCUGGGUUUGACAUGCACAGGACGACUGCAGAGAUGUGGUUUCCCUUGUGGCCUGUGUGCAGGUGGUGCAUGGCUGUCGUCAGCUCGUGUCGUGAGAUGUUGGGUUAAGUCCCGCAACGAGCGCAACCCUUGUCUCAUGUUGCCAGCGCGUUAUGGCGGGGACUCGUGAGAGACUGCCGGGGUCAACUCGGAGGAAGGUGGGGAUGACGUCAAGUCAUCAUGCCCCUUAUGUCCAGGGCUUCACACAUGCUACAAUGGCCGGUACAAAGGGCUGCGAUGCCGUGAGGUGGAGCGAAUCCUUUCAAAGCCGGUCUCAGUUCGGAUCGGGGUCUGCAACUCGACCCCGUGAAGUCGGAGUCGCUAGUAAUCGCAGAUCAGCAACGCUGCGGUGAAUACGUUCCCGGGCCUUGUACACACCGCCCGUCACGUCAUGAAAGUCGGUAACACCCGAAGCCGGUGGCCUAACCCCUCGUGGGAGGGAGCCGUCGAAGGU